rnacentral:rRNA from 1 species
UACGUAGGGUGCAAGCGUUGUCCGGAAUUAUUGGGCGUAAAGAGCUCGUAGGCGGUCCGUCACGUCGGCUGUGAAAACCCGGGGCUCAACUCCGGGCCUGCAGUCGAUACGGGCGGACUAGAGUACUGCAGGGGAGACUGGAAUUCCUGGUGUAGCGGUGAAAUGCGCAGAUAUCAGGAGGAACACCGGUGGCGAAGGCGGGUCUCUGGGCAGUAACUGACGCUGGAGGAGCGAAAAGCGUGGGGAGCGAACAGG